CGUGCCUAACACAUGCAAGUCAACUUGACUAGAAGGAGCAAUUCUGACAGUAGAGUGGCGCAAGGGUGCGUAACGCGUAAGUAACUUGCCCCAAGGUAAGGAAUAACGUCGAGAAAUCGGCGCUAAUACCUCAUAAUGCAGCGGAUCCGCAUGGAUAUGUUGUUAAAGGUUUACCGCCUUGGGAUAGGCUUGCGUCUGAUUAGUUAGUUGGUGUGGUAACGGCACACCAAGGCUACGAUCAGUAACUGGUCUGAGAGGAUGAUCAGUCACACUGGAACUGAGACACGGUCCAGACUCCUACGGGAGGCAGCAGUGAGGAAUAUUGGGCAAUGCUCGAAAGAGUGACCCAGCAACGCCGCGUGGAGGAUGAAGGUAUUCUAUAUCGUAAACUCCUGUGAGAGCAGACGAAAGACAGAUUAUUAAUCUGGAUGACUGUAUGCUCAGAGGAAGCCCCGGCUAACUACGUG
rnacentral:rRNA from 1 species